rnacentral:lncRNA from 1 species
UGAUAUGCACAGUUCCAAUUUAUUAUUGCAUAUGUAGUAUCCUAAUUCAUUUUAUUGUAGUAGUACCCCAAUAAAUUAGGUUACCGACCCGAAUGUUUCGGAACUAUUCCAACUUGAAUUGCGAUACUGCCCCAAUUAAUUGGAAAUGUCCAUAUUAUCCAACAAAUUAAGAUAGUGCCAAAAUUGUGCGGGAUAAACCCUGACAUUUUUUUUCGUGCAAAUUUUCCCGGAAAUUCGUGAUUUCUUAAACAAAAAGAAACUCAGCAAGCUCUGAAGGUUCACAUGGCAUUUCCUCUUUGCACCGGUAGAGAUGACUUCGUUCCCAAGUGGCAACCCUUCGGCGAAGACCUCGUGCGUGCGAACUGACCCAGUAGGUGAAAAAACUUUGAACCAGAAAUCACGGCAAGAUUAAUGACAUGGCUCAAUUAACACUAGCUCGUUAGACGCUCUCGGGAGGAAACGAUGUCAAACUGUGUUUGCCUAGCCGAAUGCCAACUCCCUACUCUGGCGUCAUUUAAACGGUCGAUGCUCAGUGUUGACAUAGACGUCCGCUACCAUUAACUGCGUCAAUUAUUGCAAAAACAGCCUAAGUUUAACGUUACAUGUAUGCGACGCCACCUUUUUGUCCAUCGUGUUGACGAGUGCAAAGAGCGCAGAAGCGGACAGACAGUAUUUGUUCUGGUAAUGCUGCGUAAGUUAUCAUGACCACUUAUCAAACAUGAAUGGUUAAACUGAAAGAAAAGUCGGGUGAAAUUUUGAAAAAUCUAAUUUUUUGUACAAGUUUUGAACUCCUACUGGAAGUGGAAGAGGACGCCGAAGGCGGAGGUACCUUUCGAAGGGACGACCACAAUGCCAACAUUGGGGGAGGAGGCGGAGACACUUCAGCUGAGAAAUGCGCACGCUGGUGAUUUUUUGGAGACUUGAACGAACGGUGAGAAAAUAUGUUCGACAGUGCGUAGGAGAAUGAGGCAAGUUGCAACGCAAGUGAAAAAAACAUGGUUUUGUACGGACUCAUUCUGGUGCUCGCGACUGUUCUUAUGCUUCUGACAGUGGGUUUGGCACACGCCAAGAAUGGAACCAGUUUGUCUAGUGACUUUAAUCGGAAUAAUGCAGUACAGCCCAUUUUUGAUCAAAGCGAGAACUCCAGAGAAAUCAACACGGGAAGAGCUGUUGCAAAUGCUUAUUAUGAUUUUCUUAUUAACGAGGGCUCCUACAAAUUUUGGGCAAUUUUUCAGCUAGCGACGGUAGCAAUUCUCUUAUAUUCUGUGUUUGCCGCCAUAUACUAUGCUAAAUACCAGUACCUGACUGAUCCGCCCACGGACAUUGAUGACCUCUUCAGGUCGAAUAGUGGUGGCUUGGGAACUUUGGACGAAUCCACGUUCCUUAUGAUACUCCAAGCAUUAGAACAUGUACCACUGCGUGAUUAAUGUAAGCUACCGUGGAUGGCUCAUUACAUGACGAGACAAAGACAGAUUAGUUUGUUCCUCUACUUCUCUUCAUGAAAAAGCGUGUAGCCCAGAAUACAAAUUUUAAAAGGCAAAUUUUUUGUUGUAACAGCUCUAGUACGUUAAUUUUUUUUAUAUAUAUAAAUUGUGGCCUCCGAGCCAAUAAUUCUAAUUCUUUCUAGCUCUCUAAUUUUUCAUGUACAUACUUAAAAUAGUAUUUUAAAGCUUUUCUGUAAAAACCAGACCUCAGAAAUCAAAGGUAAAUAGGAUUUAGAAAGCAGAUUCCUAAAAUUGGUCGAGUAUAUUAGUUGUCUGCAAAUUGGUUUGCACCAUUAGUUCGCGUAGAAUUUAUAAGUUAAAAUAAUUACUGUAUUGCUGUGAUGAAAACGCGUGAAAAAUGUUUUCAUCGCAAUUUAAUUCCAUUUUAGUUCAGAAUGCAUUGUGAUUUUCAAACAAAGUAUCAAGAUCAGUUAGUUUAAGUAAGAUAAAGUAAGUUUAUAGGUACAAUUACAGGCACAUUGUUUGAAUGACUCUUGUCGCACAAACCUCCUUUUCCAUUCAAAUUAGAAUGUAUUUACGUCGUUUCUUCUAAAUCUCAUUUAUUGUUUACUUAUUUCACCAUUUUUCAGUUCCAAUUCAUUUUAUUAUGUCCCUUCUUUGUUCCAUGUUUUCAUGCAACCAAAACUAAUUAGAACCUUCGACUUGGACGAGGAUUGGUUCAAGAAUCAUAACAUGUCAUUUUAUACAACUGACAACAAUUUAAUUACUGAUGAGAUAAAAUUUAGCCACUUAUAAUUGAUCCACAUUAUGACCGACAAACAAUAGAGUUAUUAGAAGUAAUUGCAUUAUCGCCUCAAGAAUAAGUGGAAAUUACUAAUUCUGAUCCCAAAAACCUAAGAUUCAUUUAUACCUCCAUCGAUUCAUCGCAAAUGAGGCGCAUGAUUAGGUAUACAAGAUGAGUUUUAAAAAGGCUUCCAUUAUUAUAGACUUUUUCAAUUAGCCUCAGAACUUAAGUCUGAAUCAAUAUAUCUCUUUUAUGCCUCAUUCUUUCAGUAAACAAUGACAUUAUAUUGAUGAUCACUAUGCAAACCCACUUACAUAGAAUUUUUUGCUUUCUAAAACCGACUCGAUGUAUAUUCUUUUCUAAUGACGUUAAUUUAAAAUGUAGGAUGCGAUGGUUCUCACAUUUUUGUUAGCAUAAAAUUUUAAUGCAAUAAGUUAAUAUAUGCUUGGUAAUGAGGUUUGUGCCUCUCAGUAUAAUGCAUUUGUUCCUCCUCAAUACCUUUCGAGUGGCGUGAAACGGCGUCUCACGCAACAUUUGGAGACACAAAAUGGUAAAGCCCUAAAAUUUUAAAGGAGAUAGUUAAAAUAAUAGAUUGUUGUUCCUGAAAUGAGAUAAUAACACGAGAUAAAAAUCCUGUAUAUCCUCUGUAUAAAAUCGGUUUUUUUAUUAUAACGAUUUAGGGGCCGUCUCUUAAUUACAUGACGCAUUUUUUCAGCAUUUUUGAUCCCCCUUCCCCCCUCGUAACACUUAUGUGACGUAGACUCAUAUCUUUUAACACAUUAAAACAAAAUUACGUAACACUCUUCUCGACCUCCCCUCCCCCCUAGAGAGUUACCUAAUUUAGGGACGGCCCCUUAUCAAAAUUCGCGAAACGUGAUUGGCUGGAUUUCAAUAAGUUCCCAUUUUAGCCGUGAAGCUACAGCUUUUGUAUCUGAGUAUCAACGCAAACAAAAGUUCAUACUCGUGCACCGAAAGCCUUUCAGCUAGUCAUCGCACAGUGGAUCGAGUCAAUAGGAGAGGUCGGACAAAAUUUGGAAACUUUAAACGCUCAUAGCUCCGUUUAUACAAAACUUUGAGGCUCUAAAGGUGGUUUCAUCGGUUUCCUCGUGAAAUUUUCUUCUAUGAGCCCCUCUUGAAACUUAAAAUGUGACGGAAUAAACAUCAAAAUUUGCUGUUCGAGUCAUAAAUUUCAUGUCCGACUUCUCUAAUUGACUCGAUCCACUGUGCACCAUCUAAAGCCCCGAAACUGAAACGCACACAAGUCAACGACUCUGAUGUAGUAUUCAAAUUAGGCGAUAAAAGGGUUCCUAAUUUUAAAUUAGUUUACGGUCCUGGCAGAGCCUCUUCAUGAACAUUUAGUGUAAUUUGUUUGCAUAACAACUGCUCCACGUUGGGCGGCACCGUAAAACUCCACGAAUCUCCACCUCCGGAAAAGGCAACCGAAAAGACCACCAAACCGGUGGGAACCGCGGACAACUCUGCCGUGCUGAGGAAAAACGCAGUAUGAACAUUCGAGAGUUGCCAAAUUUCCUUUAAUCAAAUGUUUAUUUUUGAGAAAAAUUAUGAGUAUUUUCCCUUGAAAUUUUCAGGACUUUUCGGUGAAAUUGCGAGCAAAAUUAUCUGAAAAAUUUGCAGAAAAAUAUCUAUAUUUUCAUCAGGAAAUUUGUAUUUUAUCAAAGGAAAUUUGGCAACGCCUGAAGGUUCAUACGGCGUUUUUCCUCAGUACGGCAGAACUGCUCACCGGUUGCUCAUCAUCUUCCACGUUUGCUACCACCGAUUUACAAGCCACGCUGCCGUGCUAAGGAAAACUGCCGCUUGAGUUUUUAAGCUUUGCCGAAUUUCCUUUGAUAAAAUACGAAUCGUUUGGGGAACUUCAGAAUAUUAUUCCUCCGAUUUUUUGGACUUUGCUCCUGAUUUCAUCCAUGAAAAUUUUAGAGAAAUAUAUGCUAAACUUUCCGCCGAUGUAAUUAUAAUCAGAGACAAUUUGGCAACAUUCGACCGUUUAUAGGGCGUUUCUCCAUAGGACGGUAGCACGGUAUUUGAUCG